rnacentral:rRNA from 1 species
UACGUAGGGUCCGAGCGUUGUCCGGAAUUACUGGGCGUAAAGAGCUCGUAGGUGGUUUGUCGCGUUGUUCGUGAAAACUCACAGCUUAACUGUGGGCGUGCGGGCGAUACGGGCAGACUUGAGUACUGCAGGGGAGACUGGAAUUCCUGGUGUAGCGGUGGAAUGCGCAGAUAUCAGGAGGAACACCGGUGGCGAAGGCGGGUCUCUGGGCCGAUACUGACGCUGAGGAGCGAAAAGCAUGGGGGAGCGAACAGG